AUAUGCUCUUCUCUAUCAGAAGAGUUUUCAUUUUUCUCAAAGCUACGACCAGAUCUGGAAGCAGUAGUGACACGACGGAUGGAUUUAUUUGAGUUCUUGAGAUGAGAACGAAGACGAUUUGAUGAUAACAUAUUUGGUAAAUUGAAUCUGCCUGCUGGUAUUCACGAUGGAAUUGCUUGAGAUAGUGGUCAAAUUGGGGGAAGAGAUUAACAGCAGCAGGAGACGAAAUUGGUUUGAGUUCGAUUACAAAGAAAGGGUCAGCAAUAUCAUCGAAUUUGAGAAGGCUUGAUACAGAUCUGAAUUCAUUCUGCAACAGUGAAGUUAGGUUAUUAUGGUGGCUGUCGGGUGGAUUUGCAGAUGUAAUUUGAGAAGGAGAAUUCAGUUCCAUGGAGAUACAGAUUGAAAGAACAAGGAUGAACUGAUGUUCGAAUUCAGUUAGCAGUGGUGUUGGAUCAAUGGAUUAAUGGAGAAACGAAACUGAGAAGAUGCAGUCUGUUGAAUAGGACUGAGAAUGUUCAAUCCGGCAGUGAUGGCAUUUUCUAUUACCAAACAGUUGGUGUUUUGAACCGUGAAGACAGUGUUGAUGUUUACUUCGGCAGUGGAUUGUGGGGAUGUAAGGCGAGGAAAGUGCUUAGUGAUACUAUGGUCAUAUUUGGGAAAGAUUGAUUAUGGAUUCAGUGUGGUAGUGAUAUGAGUUCUCAAGAUAGUUUGGGUGAUUGGUUAGGCUAAUUACAUUCUGUAGUGUCUAUAUUACUCGCUAUGGGUUCUGUUUGUUGGAUUUGGGAAGUAGUGGCGAGACUUGGUGAAGCCUGAGUUUGGUCAGAAUCAGAAUUGGUGCGUGGACAGUUGAAGAUAAAACUAUUCCCCCAAUCCAGGAAGGGUUUGAAUCAGUGUAGAUGAGUGUGCUGUGUACCCAAUGGAGAGAUGAAUAAGGCAGGAAAACAUGGUUGAAUCCGGAAGUCAGAGAACAAGUCUCAGCAGUUGUGUAUAAAGGAGGACAACAACCAACCAAGAAGGGGAGUAAGAUAGCUCUAAAGACUUGGCGGCAUUGGGAGCUGGUACGGGUGCAGGGAAUCAGUGUCAUUGCGCCAGUUGUGAUUAGGCUGAAAUCUAGCCGCAAUCACAGCCAUUUGGGUAACAUUGUAUCCGUUUCUUGUUUCCUUUGUGUAUGCAAUAUUCUACGUCUGAUCAAUUCAAUCGAUUAGUUAGAUUUCACCGUGUUGCUAAUAGGGUAUUAGAGAAUCACCCUAGUCAUCCAAUGACAGAUGAAGCUGCGAGAUUAGCGGCUGAGGCUGAAGCUGCUAGAAUAGCUGCUAAAGCCGCAGCCAAUGCUGAUGAACCUAGAAACCUUUGAGAUUAUUUGCAGCCGGAAAGGACUUCUACACCUUCUUGUAUAGUUCUUCCGGCUAAUGCUGGCAAUGUGUCGAUUAAGUAUGGGCAGAUACAAGCACUUCCUAAGUUUCAUGGAUUGGACUCCGAGAGUCCAUACAUACAUUUGAAAGAAUUUGAUGAAGUCUGUACUACUAUGCCUUUUGUUGCUACGACUCAAGAUGUUGUAAAACUGAAAUUGUUUCCAUUUUCUCUCAAGGAGAAAGCUAAGACUUGGCUGCAUUCUUUGCGACCAAAUAUCAUUAGGACAUGGAAUGAAAUGACUAGAGAGUUUCUGAAAAAGUUUUUUCCUAUUCAUAAAACCACCACUCUUCGCAAAAAUAUUAUGAAUUUUUCUCAAAAUGAACAUGAGUCUUUUUUCGAGUGUUGGGAAAGGUUUAAAGACUUACUUUCUAGCUGCCCUCAUCAUGGUUAUGAAAUUUGGAGAGUUAUUAACUUCUUUUAUGAGGGUCUGAAUUCUGGUAUGCGUCAGUUUGUUGAAAUGAUGUGUAAUGGGCAAUAUCUGAAUAAGUCACCUGAUGAUGCUUGGAGUUAUUUCGAUUCACUAGCUGAAAAUGCCCAAAAUUGGGAUACUUUAGGCACAUUGGAUAGGAAUAAGUCCAAACCCUUAGCUAGCUCUAGGCCUGGAAUGUAUGUGCUGAGUGAGGAAGAUGAUUUGAAUGCUAAAAUUGCUAGCUUGCAAAGGAAAGUGUUCCAGACUUUCGCAAAUACCACAAGCUGUGUAGCGGGUCUUUUGUAGGAUAUUUUCUAUGACCAGCUGUGUAGCGGGUCUUGUGUAUGGUAUUUCAAAUUUUCAUUUUAUGACCAGCUAUGUAGCGGGUCUAACUCUCUCUUAUGAUAUGACCAGCUGUGUAGCGGGUCAAUUCUUUGUUUUGCUUGAGGACUAACAAAAUAUAAGUGUGGGGGUGUUGAUAAGCACGUAAUUUCUAUAUUUUAUACCCAUAUUUAUAUUAACUAGAACUCGAUAUUUUAACUAAUAAUACCAUUUUAGUGCUUUUGUAGAAAGUACACGCAAAUCCAAUUUCCGAAAGAAUAAGUAGUUAAAUGAACAACUAAAUGGCGUGUGUGGACAAAAUUCACCGAAUAUGGGUGGCCUGGUAUUUUAUAUAUCAGCACCAAAAGGAGACAGAGGUUAUGAACCAGAAUGGGGGCUUGUGUAUCGACUACUUCACCUAGUCGCAUCACUCAUUCAUUCAGCAUAGGAAUUUCUUUGAUUACCAAGCACGUGAGCCCACCAGGAGUUAUGGACACGACGUGGCAUCUCAAGGCUGAAGAAAGCACGUGAGGCCACCAGCAUUAUCUCGUUUCUUAAUAAAACAGAAGAAAGCAUUCCGUGCUCUUAUCGAAACACAUUUUAAGCAGCUGAAGUUCUUAGCAGAUAAAUGAAAUUGGAAUCUUGAGGUUGAUACAGUGGAGUUUCCAUACAGUCGAUGAUGUUCACAGCAACAACAAUGGUAUUUGGGGCUUGCCGUGGUCGAAAAGCAGGUUGAAUCUCUUAUUGGGUUAAUGGUUGUUUUGGGAAAUGGUGAACUGGUAGCUGGUGGUAAUUGUCAGAACUGGUUUGCAGUCAGUGGUGGUUGUUGAACUGAUGGUGCAGACACGAUGCAGAUGGAGUUCAGUUCACAGGACUGUACUUGAAAGAGACGUGCAUCUGAGAUGAUUGGUUAAGCUGAUUAUAAUUAGAGGCAGUUGAGGAGUAUAUGCUUAUCGUGUUGGCAUGAAUGGAGAUGGAGUCGACCGGGUGCUGUUGCCAUGGUCAUGGCUGUGAAUCGAGUUCGAAUACAGAUUUCCAGAUGGCUUGCGAGAAGUGUUACUGCAGUUUGCUGUGGCUUGGACUUGGCAAGGAGCUGGUGAUGCUCGAGGGCUUUUGAACUCGACUGCCAGUGGUAGCAUCGAUUGGUAGAGAUGGAUUAUUCACUGGCUGAAGUGGGGUUUGUUCGCUGAUGCAACAAACAAAGAAGCUGUUGUUGCAUUAAGGGUUGAUGGAGAGUUGGCGAAGAUGAGUUUAUUCCCAACUGGAACUGUGUCAUACUUGGCCUGAACUGUAUGUCGGAAGAUAAUUGAAGACCAGAUUUUGUUGCCGUUUAAACAAGUGGUCUUUGAUUAGAUGGUUGGUUGGUGGAUUGUCUAAAGACUGAACAGUGAGAAGAUGAAGUGAAGUUGCUGCUGUUUUACGUAAAUGGAAAAGAAGUUGAACUCGGAGAUGGACUGGAGAAGAAACUUAGCAAGAAGUUCAGGGAACGAAGGUUGGUGCUGACUUCGAAAGAAAAGAGAACUGUUGCGAAGAAGUUGAUUGCAGGAUCGAGGUGCAGUUUUGGGUUGCGUAAGAAAAUGACGGCUGCCAUGAACAACCCAUGGUGAUGAAGAUCGAUGGGAGUUGUUUGUUGUGUAAUCGAUGGAGUCGGUGUGUCAGCUGGAGUUCUGAUGGACUCUACGUUUGCAGAAAGGAAGAUGGGUAUUGAACGAGAUACUUGUGCGGAGAUUUGGUUCAACAACAUCAUGAGAAUAAGGUUUGUAUGAUAGCUGAUGAAAAGUAAGGCAGUAGUGUUUGUUACUAGUUGUUCCAUGGACUGAGGUCGAGAAGUUACGUGGCCAGAGAACUGAAGAAAACCGUAUCCGGCCAGUUUUGGAAAGUGUUUGGACGUGGACUUAAUUUGGAAUACGGGGGUGAUGGAAGGGAUGACGUGGCGCGCUCUCAGUCGUUGGUAUUAUAUUUGUGACGCAAGGAACCAAAGAAAUAAAAAGAGAAGUCAAAUCUGAAAGAGGGGGAGGGAAGAGAAGUCAAAUCUGAAAGAGGGGGAGGGGAGGUUGCGGCCGCAGAGCCAUGUCGAGCUAAUCAUGUUAUGGUGAAAGGAUGAACUUGUAGAUUGAAUUAUAUGUAUUUUUGAAUAAGGGUUUUCCACUAUUGAACUUAAUGCUAAUGUUUUGUCUCUCUAUCAA